rnacentral:lncRNA from 1 species
CCAUUCUACUUCACUUUACUUUGAUUAGAUUGCCUGCUAGCUCUCAUCCAUUUAGUAGAGACUCAAGUCUUCUGCUUCCCACCCAGGUCCGUGUUCCUUGGUGGUAGCGUGUCAUGUGCUUGCUGGGCAGAUCCUCUCCUGGUCCUGGACCCUGCAUGCUGGAGGUUUAUCGGUGAACUUUCAAGAUUUCACAUCCUGUCCAUAAAAUUUUUGCAGCAGCAAGGUAACAACAGUGCAUACAGAUUAUUGACUUUUUGUUACUACAAAUAUUUAAUUGGCUUGAUAGCAAAAGAUUUACACACAGCUAGAAAAAGCAAA